AGGUCAUCAUAUUUUCAUUGCCAGAAUGGAAGAAGCUGGUGCCGGUGGAGUUCUGCUGAGUCCCAUGGCAUCUUUGCAUGAAAUCCUGAGGGGUUAUCUCUUGUUUUAUACUGGUCCAUUCUCCUGAUUGUCUAGAAUUGAUCCAGAUUGCGAUGUUUCACUUCAGAACAGGGAUGAAGAGAGUAUCCAAAGACUCAGGGAGAAACAACAACAACAGAAAAUAGGUGUCUUGAAUGUUGGGAAGUCCUGACAAGAAGAAUACUCCUGAAGACAGUUUCUUCACACACCCCAAACUUUGAAUAAACCACAGAAAUACUCCCAGCUCCUCAUCUCAUAUGUACCUUUUCCUGACCCUUCUCAGGCAUGGAGUGGCUGGUGGGAGAUGGAGGGACAGCUGAUCUAUCACUAUGUCAGAGGAACAUUGGUGAUGAUGAUGAUUCUUACCCCCUGUUCCUUUCCCACUGGUCAUUACAAGGCUGUUCUGGGCAACCGAGGUUGGUAUCACCUGGUGCGGUAAGUCA